GGGACGGGGAGAGCCGAGGGUCCGCGCCCUGCGCCUUAGCGCAGCGGACCUGUUGCGAGCCCUCAACCCUCCCGGUGUGACCCCGACGGUCUCUCCCCUGCGCGCUCGCUUUGCGGAUGUGCACCGCGCGCACCGCGCGCACCGCUUCCCCUCCCCUCUGGCACACAGAGCCUUGCGCAGGUCCUGACCCGGACUCCGACCCCACGGGUCCCUUCCGAGGACCCUCGCUUGGUGUACCGCGACCCUGAAGAUCCAAUCUUGCACACCCUGGACUUCAGGACCCUCCGCGAGUGAAUCCUGACCUGGCCGGUGCGGGUCUGAGCUCGCUAAGGAAAGAAACAGGGUGUGACUCAGCGCGACCCUUUCUCUUCCAACGUCUGCUGUCCUGGGGUCGCACCAUCGCAUUCAGGUUAUAGUCCAGAUUUUCCGGAAGAUUAAGUCCCUUACUUAAGUCCCAUCUGGCUCCCGAGUGAAACUCUUGCCGCUGUCACACGUGCAUCAAUCACAGGCGGGGGCGAGGGGGCAGGGAGGUAGGGAAGGUCAAGGUAUAAGGGCUGCUUUGAAGGUUUUAGACAAGGGGAUCCCCUAAGAGUGGCUCUUAAUCCCGUGCCAGGUUACAUCCCCUGUGGCCCUCAGGGACUCGUCCUGUCCAAUAAGCCCCCUCCAGCACCGCUCAUUUGGCAAUCCAUUGACCUGACCCGGAUCUGAGUCCGCCCACCCUUCCGGUUCCUCCUUUACUGAGGAGUCAAAUGUUCUGAGCCCCAGGUUCAUCUUUCACCCCCUAGACUCAGCCCUGCAAAUUCUCUCCCACUCCGUUGCACACCCUUGUGAACCCCUGAGCCACCUUUUAUGGCCUCAUCUCACGUCUGCCCGGGCACUCCCCUCUUGCCCAGUGACCUUGGGGUCAGAAACUCCCAAGGGUGCUUUUGGGCUUCCACUUCUCUGGCUUCUCCACAUCCUGUAACACUGAAAGUCAUGUUGCUUUCUAGAAAGUUCUCCGUGUGGCUGUGGCUUUCAGGAUGGGCACUCACUUUCUCGUGCUUUCGUGGAGAUGUCCCUCCUCACUAUUUCCACGGUCCCCAGACUACUCCUACUACUACUUACUACUGAGGACCAUUUCCUGCACCUCUUACCUGAAGAUCACCUGGCAAUGAAUCCAAGGCUCCUCCAGCAAGUGUUUAUUUCCUCUGGAACACAUUUGGUCUCUUCUCUGUCAUCUACUGGCUCCCUUCCCAGACCUCCCGUCUGGUCCUUGGAUAAACUCUUUAUUCAGAUACUACCCUUUUCCAGGACUCCGUUUCUGUUUUAGGGGACAGUGAAUCCUGCGCCCCACGCUAUAGGUCCUCCACCGGUGAGCCGGUCAGCCCUCAAGUGCCUCUGAGGCAGUUCCUGCUUUGUAUUCUGUCGGCGCCGCAGGACGACCCCCAUCUGGUACCUAGUCCUCCUCCUGUGCAGUAGCACUCAGGAAGAGCGAAGAUCGUGGGCUCCUUGUCUUCCGUACACCAGUUUCAGAAAUUCUGCACGGAUCCGCCCUCUCUGUUUUUUGCUCCAGGCAAUGACCAGAAGGCAAAGACCUGUUUGCUUCUGCUGUGCGGGGGCGGCUUGUGCAAGGCUGAGGAAUAGAUGCAGCCCCUCCUUCAAUUCCUCUUCCACCUCCCCGGGGUGCAGACUGGAAGGCUGAGCGCCACCGCCGCCAAGGGCUGCCCUUCUGUGAGCUGGGUAAUGAGACAGGAUGAGAGGCAUCGUGAGCUCUGUGAGCUCUGUGACAAUGUGGCCUCGAGCGGGGCCCGCCAGCUCGCUCCUCAGGGGUCAGGGGCACAGUGGAGCAAGCAAUGCGUCUCUGUUGCCUCUGUCUUGGUUCACUGUUUUUCACUUCCGCUUCUUGCCCCUCGCGGAGGAGUCUUCACUGGCAGAUAUAGGACUUUCCUGGUGGGACCCUCGGAAGACCUUACCCCUCCGGCCUUGUUUUCUUGAGGACAGAGUGUGUGUGGGGGGGGGGGGGAGGAGGCAGAAGGAAGGGACAGUUUUGAGAGUGCCUGAGAGGCAAUACAGAGCUGACCGCAAUGGGUGCCUGGCCCCUGGUGGGCUCUAUCUAUCCCACUGAGUCUGCUUGCUCAUACAUCAUCAGACUCCUGACUGUUGGUGAUCCCACAGGUGCUCAACCUUGUGAGAUCCACUUUUAGGGGCUGGAGAAAGAUUCACCAACCAGGACGCUCCUUCCAUCUCUCCUUUGGCUACUAGCAGCAGUCGAAGACUUUCAGAGUGAGACUUCAGACAGCAUUGAGACAAGGUGUUCGUGGUCGUCAGUUUAACGGAGACAUAUCUCCCGACUGACUUCAAGCUCUCUGUGUAGCUAAGGAUGUCCUUGAACUCCUGAUCCUCUUGCCCUUACCUUCCAAAUUCUGGGAUUACAGAAGUGUGUUGCCAUACCUAGUCAGUUUUAUAUGUGUUAGCAUCUUCCUAUGAAGCUCAGCUGUCCUCAAUCCACAACCUUCUUUUCUCAGUCUCCGGAAUGCUGGGAUUUCAGAUUCCUCAGGUUUUUUUGUGAAGACAGCUAUCAGCUGUGUGAAAAAAAAAUACAUUUUCUUUCUUCGCAAUCUGCAAGAUUUUAUUGACUUUUGGUAACUCAUUGUUGGAACUGUGACCUGCAGUACAAUGUUCAGACGAGGCAAGAGCGGGAUUCGCAGCUUUAUUCUUCUCCACGAGCAGAGGUGUCCAGUUUUCCCCAUGAGAUCCACACCCCUGCCCAUUGGCCGGCAGCUCUUUAUUAAUCCAAUGGGAAGGCGCCUGGCAAAGACACAUCUUCACAGGAUACGAAAAGACUAUUCCUUAACAGGUAAAGGUUAGCGACAGAGGCUGGGCCUGGAACCAAGCAACACAGACAGCCUGGCCUGCAACAUGCAGCUCACCCUGUGUCCUCUCAGUCAUUUCUGUCACUUGCCUUGACCCAGGAGGGACUUAAAGCCCCUGCAGCCACCAGUCACUGGAGCACAUGUGAUCCCAUGCCAUGGGAACUGUGACAGUGGCCACGAGUCUCUAGCAACACAGCUCAAGCUGGCUGUCAGGAGAAAUCGUUCACAGCGCUAGAAGAGAUGAGGGGACUUCCAAAGGGUUUGCUGAGAACCUGGCUCCCUCUCCUCUGGGUGUCGGCUUCGGCUUCGUCUCUGGACUACUGCGGCUGUCACGUUGUCUGUCUCUGCCCAUUUCCACACCUCAGGAGGAAGAGCUCCCUCCCCCAAGUUGCCAAGAUUAGACCAGCUGAGGCCGCACGCUCUUCUGCUGGGAAAUCCCAGGGACUGUCAGGCAGGAGGAAGGCAAAGUGGGUGAUUCGAGGAAAGCCCAGCUGUGGGGCCGCAUGUGCAAACACAAGCUGUCCAGGGUGUCCUGCCAGGGAUGGGGGUGGAUCCAGGGGACUCGUCCCAGGAGGUUCUCUGCCACUUACUGGAGGAACUGUGGAGAAGAGCCAGGGCUGCCGGCAGGAGGAGACAGAGUCUCCAAGAUCCUAGCAGUAACCCAAGGUCUCCAAAGAUUAUGAGACACCAUGAUGUCUCCACCUGGAUUGCGACUACGCUGACCGCUGGGCGAGAAGCCCCAGUGCAACGCCUGCUGCCAGAACCUGAUCCAGACUGUGGACAAACAGCAGGACCUUGGAGAAUUGAUUUACCACUUUUGUCUAGACAAAAUAAGUUUAAACUUAUCUCAAUAGGCUUCCACUUGGCUGUCAGACUCAUUGAAGCAUCAGUUGCUGACUACAACCUGCCUGAAUGGUGGUGAGCCCUGGACUUCCUGAAAGCUGAUGUGGACCAGUCCAGUUGAUAUGAACACGAACACUCCCUGCCCCUUCAAUGAAGUCUGAUGAGUGUCUAUUGCCUGAAUUUCCUCCCUACCUUGGCUAACCUUUCAACCUACUUGGGCCCGGAUAACAACGCCCCAAAGUCAGCUUGAAGUAGUUGUGGAAAGGAACACAUUGUCCCAUGCUCCCUGCCCAAAAUAGGUUAAAAGGCUGAGUC